UACGUAGGGUGCGAGCGUUGUCCGGAAUUACUGGGCGUAAAGAGCUCGUAGGUGGUUUGUCGCGUUGUCCGUGAAAACUCACAACUCAAUUGUGGGCGUGCGGGCGAUACGGGCAGACUGGAGUACUGCAGGGGAGACUGGAAUUCCAGGUGUAGCGGUGAAAUGCGUAGAUAUCUGGAGGAACACCGGUGGCGAAGGCGGCAUCCUGGACCGGAAUUGACGCUGAGGCGCGAAAGCUAGGGGAGCAAACGGG
rnacentral:rRNA from 1 species